ensembl:lncRNA
GAGAUGGAGGAGCGUGGAACAACCACCACAGCCCAGUACAGCCAAGUCCCUGGCGGCACUGCCAGGGCCCACCUGGCUGGCCUCGAGGGCAGAAGGGCGCGUUCCUUCCAGGAGCCAGGAGGUGACUAAGGAAGUCCCGGUGAGGAUGAGCAGGGAUCGAACUCAGGACCUUCUACUUGCCAGGCAGGCGCAGUGACACUGAGCUACAUCCCCAGGCCAAUUCUUCCAUUUUUAGAGGACAAGAACCCGGUGUAUCGUACCGCUAACAGGAACAAGUGAACACGGGAGAGAAAGGACAGAUGAACAAGACAA